GCAGAUGAACCCCAGACAAAAGCAGACAAAGAGAGAGAGAGAAAGGAUAGUCCUGAGGAGGAAAAGGAAUCACUGAUGGACAAAAAGAGUGAAUUGCGGGCUCAGAUAGG